rnacentral:misc_RNA from 1 species
GAUGACACGCUUGGACGUCGAGCGUCGGGACGACAGCGUCUAUUCCUCACGACGCUUGACGUCCCAAUUAAAAAAAGUAAAAAUGUCAGUGGUAUUUUGUUAAAUUGCAUGGGCCAACGAGAAAUGAAAUAAAUAGAAAUUAACUCAACUAACAGUUGAAGAAGGGAAAAAUGAAGUUCGCCGAACAUCUUUCAGCACAUAUUACUCCAGAAUGGCGAAAGCAAUAUAUAAAUUACGAGGAAAUGAAAGCAAUGUUGUAUGGUGCAGUAGAACAGGCACCAUCCGCCGAACUUGUUGAACCCGACAUUUUAACUAGAUAUUUUGCAAAAUUUGACGAACAGUUUUUCAGCUUCUCCGAAAAGGAACUAACAAAAAUCAACACAUUUUAUUCCGAAAAAUUGGCUGAAGCUACAAGAAGAUUUGCUAAUUUAAAAAGCGAACUUAGCGAAACACAAGAGGUUGAUUCGGCUGGGAAAAAUAGAAAAAAAUCAAUCAAACAGAACAUUCUACGCAAGAAGAACGUUCCGGCCAGAAAAAUGCAGGAAUUGAAACUAGCGUUUAGCGAAUUUUAUUUAAGUUUAAUUUUAUUGCAGAAUUAUCAAAAUUUAAACUUUACGGGAUUUAGGAAAAUUUUAAAGAAGCAUGACAAACUAUUAUCUGUAGACGUAGGCAUGCGAUGGCGAAUUGAAAAUGUAGAAAACUCACAUUUCUAUACGAAUAAAGAUAUCGAUCGACUGAUAAGAGAAACAGAGGCAACAUUCACGCAAGACUUGGAAUCUGGUGAUCGACAAAGAGCAAUGAAGAGACUGAGAGUUCCACCAUUGGGAGAGCAACAGAGCCCUUGGACCACUUUCAAGGUGGGAUUGUUCUCUGGAGGUUUUAUAGUACUUAUUGCUGCAGUUAUACUAUCAGGAGUGUUUCACUCACCAAAAGAAGACUGGCGUAUAGUUACUCGACUUUAUAGAGGCCCUCUUCUUAUUAUAGAAUUUUUAUUUUUGUGGGGCAUUAAUAUUUAUGGCUGGAGAUCUUCGGGCGUCAAUCAUGUUCUCAUUUUUGAAAUGGACCCCCGAAAUCACUUGUCCGAGCAACACAUUAUAGAAAUGGGGGCAAUUUUUGGAAUAAUGUGGUCAAUUUCAGUGCUCUGUUUCUUUUUCAGUGAGCAAAUCGGUUUGCCAGCAUUCGUGCAUCCUCUAGCUUUAAUUAUCUUGAUGCUGAUGUUCAUGUUGAAUCCCACCAAAACACUCAGACAUGAAGCUAGAUUUUGGGCCCUCCGAGUCCUGGGCAAAGUCGUGAUGAGUCCAUUUUUCUUUGUUUCCUUUGCUGAUUUUUGGCUUGCCGACCAAUUAAACAGCCUGGUCACACUCUUCACGGACCUGCAAUAUUUUGUGUGUUUUUAUGUGAGCAAUGGAAGUUGGUCUGAAGGCAAAGAUCCCAAUUAUUGCAUAGAAAGUUUUAUGGGAGUCCGAGCUCUGAUGGCGUGUCUUCCCCCAUGGUUUCGUUUCGCUCAAUGUUUAAGACGAUACCGAGAUACUAAAGAAGCAUUCCCUCAUAUAGCCAAUGCUGCCAAAUACGCUACGUCCUUUUUUGUUGUGAUAUUUUCUACUUUAAAUAAACUAGACGAAUUCAAUUCUUCAGAUAAAGACAAGGUUUCUCCUUAUUUCUACUUGUGGGUUUGUGCAUCGAUAGUAAGCACCUGCUAUGCGUACACAUGGGAUAUUAAACUGGAUUGGGGUCUUUUCGAUGCCAAAGCUGGCGAUAAUAAAUUCCUGAGGGAAGAGAUCGUGUAUCCGGCCACGGUAUUGGUUCUACUAUUUUGCCAUAGUCGAAGACUUGAUUCUGCGGUUCGGAUGGGCUUUCCUAAUUGGAAUGACUGAAAUGGGAUACGUAAUGGAAAACUCCAUGGUCUGCAUUUUAGCUCCAUUAGAAGUUUUCAGGAGAUUUGUUUGGAAUUUUUGCCGCUUAGAAAACGAACACCUCAAUAACUGCGGCAAAUUCCGAGCCGUUCGUGAUAUUUCCGUAGCACCAUUGGACACAUCUGAUCAAAUGUUAAUCGUCCGGAUGAUGGAUGAAGCGGACGGAGUGAUCAACAGGAGAAAGCGAAAAAAUAAGAAAAGAGGAGAGCACAGAAUUAUUUUGGAUCCUGGAGAGUCAACUGACGAUCUCGAGAACUAGUCACAUAGUGUUAUGGCAUGUGGAUUUUAUUUUUGUUAUGUAUUAUUUUUUAAUAAACGUUAACUAGUUGUACGAUCUACAAUUACAAUUUAA